AUUGCAUCGCGUGACGUUGGCGGGGCGGACGGGACGGGACGUCGGUGGAUCAGAUCAGCCGUCCUGGCGCCGCGACGCGCCGUGACCACACUAUAAGGCACAACAUUUUAAGAAAAGAAGAGAGAACUUUCGCCACACCGCGCGUGUUUCGGUCGGUUUCGGUGCACGUGCCGGUGAGGGUGGCUUUGCCUUCCGUUUGCCCAUAAGAAGCCAUGGCCCCAGUGAGAAGGCAAACCAGAGCGUGCACCGAAACACGGCAGAAUCUAAAAAUCAGCAAACACCCCCAAGAACGUAUCAAUGGAACUGGCGCGCGUACGUCGACCGGCUGACAGCUAUCGAGUGACAUACGAGGCGGGGCGCGGCGCGGCGAGGGUGAACCAUCACUACCAUUUUGAAACUGGGAAAUGUUUUUGCCAGUCCAUUUGCGGGGCAGUGCCAACAUCCUAUCCUUCCGCUCGGUUGGCUCGCGCGACUGCUCACCGGCGACGACCCGUGACCCGCGGACCGGAAGGGUUCUGGAGCGUCCGCGAUGUCUUUCGGAAGGUUGUUCUUCUCCGCAGUUUCUUUUUCCUCUAGCGAAAUAACCGUACUGUAAGCAGCACCAUUGACCAUAGAUGCCCAACAUACAUCAUGUUACUAAGAGUAGGUAAUAUUAAUUUUUGAAAACCGCCUUUGUUUUAUUAACUUUAUCCUGGUUUAACCCCCCAAAACGCGUUUCAGAUAGAGGAAAUUGGAACCGACCAGAAGGACGCAAAACCGCAAAAAGGUGGCAAAAAAGGUUUGCCAAUGCCGCCCCAUA